CCGAUCAUAGCUCAGCUGGUAGAGCGGGAGACUGUAGUGCAACAGCUUAUCUCUAGGUCACUUGUUCGAAUCAGGUUGAUCGGA